ACGAACGCUGGCGGCGUGCUUAACACAUGCAAGUCGAGCGGUAAGGCCCUUCGGGGUACACGAGCGGCGAACGGGUGAGUAACACGUGGGUGAUCUGCCUCGCACUUCGGGAUAAGCCUGGGAAACUGGGUCUAAUACCGGAUAUGACUUCUGGUCGCAUGGCUGGGGGUGGAAAGAUUUAUCGGUGCGAGAUGGGCCCGCGGCCUAUCAGCUUGUUGGUGGGGUAAUGGCCUACCAAGGCGACGACGGGUAGCCGGCCUGAGAGGGCGACCGGCCACACUGGGACUGAGACACGGCCCAGACUCCUACGGGAGGCAGCAGUGGGGAAUAUUGCACAAUGGGCGAAAGCCUGAUGCAGCGACGCCGCGUGAGGGAUGACGGCCUUCGGGUUGUAAACCUCUUUCGACAGGGACGAAGCGUAAGUGACGGUACCUGUAGAAGAAGCACCGGCCAACUACGUGCCAGCAGCC
rnacentral:rRNA from 1 species